GUGGUGCCGAAGCCGCGUGUCGCCCGCCCGCAGUCAGGCGGUGGGGGUGGGGCUGGGGCCUGCGGCUCGGGGCGCGGGCGGCGGGGGCAUUCGGUGACGGUGACUCGAGGUGACCCUGCGGGAAGCAGCAGGAGCUGCCCCGGUCCAUGCGGGCGGAGACGAGCGCGCGACCUGGAGAGCAGGGCGAGGACCAGCGGCCCAGCGCAGACACCCAGGCCUCGCGGCUCAGCUGGGGGAAGAACCGGGCCUUGGCCAGGGGUCCCGACUGGGGACGACUCCCAGACCCCGGGGCUGCCCCUGCAGCCUGUGCAGCCCGCAGCGAGUGACAGUCCCCAGCGAGGUACCUCGCGCACUCCCCUGAGGUGACACAGUCUCCCGUGAGAUGACCAUUCUCCUAAGAUGACACGCUCACCUGAGCUGACACACUCGCCUCUGAGGUCAGGGGCCGAGCCUGGGUCAAUGGUGUCCCUCCAGGCUGCACACAGUGGUCCGUGACCCUGGGACCAGCAAGACAGAUGCACCGCACCGUCGUCACAUAGGCCCUCGUCACAUAGGCCCUCCUCUUCCCUUGUCCUCGUUGUUUUGUAACUCCAGAGAUUUAAAGUGAGAGUCCUGGUCUUCCCUGAGACUUUGCUUUCCCAGAGGUUGUGAUCCUGUAGGAGAGAGGCACCCCUACCCCCGUUGGAGCCCUUUUGGCUCAGCUGGGCUUUAAUGUCCUUGACUCAAGUCUCCUGGCUGCAGCAGAAAUGAAACAAACACGGCCACAGAGUGCUUGUGCGUGAAGAGAAACCUUAAAUGAUGGAGUUUGCUAUGUUGCCCUGGCUGACCUUGAACUCCUGGAUUCAAGCAUUUCUCCUGCCUUUGCCUCCUGAGGACCUGGGACUACAGAUUCUUUCCUCUGUCUGCACAUUUGAAUUUCAGUAAUACUAUGAUAGAUACCUAAGUUAACAGGGGCAAAUGAAACAAACAACUAAAUCUGAAGCCUCCUGGAAGGGAACAAAACCAGCAUGAAGAGUCCCUGGAGAUCAGACUGCUUUUUAUUCCUGG
rnacentral:lncRNA from 1 species